rnacentral:rRNA from 1 species
CACAUUCCACGUGAUCCGUGUCGCAGCUAACGCAUUAAGCGCCCCGCCUGGGGAGUACGGCCGCAAGGCUAAAACUCAAAGGAAUUGACGGGGGCCCGCACAAGCGGCGGAGCAUGCGGAUUAAUUCGAUGCAACGCGAAGAACCUUACCAAGGCUUGACAUAUACAGGAAAACUGCAGAAAUGUAGUCCCCGCAAGGUCUGUAUACAGGUGGUGCAUGGUUGUCGUCAGCUCGUGUCGUGAGAUGUUGGGUUAAGUCCCGCAACGAGCGCAACCCUCGUCCUAUGUUGCCAGCACGUUAUGGUGGGAACUCAUGGGAGACUGCCGGGGCCAACUCGGAGGAAGGUGGGGAUGACGUCAAAUCAUCAUGCCCCUUAUGUCUUGGGCUUCACGCAUGCUACAAUGGCCGGUACAAAGGGCUGCAAUACCGUAAGGUGGAGCGAAUCCCAAAAAGCCGGUCUCAGUUCGGAUUGAGGUCUGCAACUCGACCUCAUGAAGUCGGAGUCGCUAGUAAUCGCAGAUCAGCAACGCUGCGGUGAAUACGUUCCCGGGGCCUGUACACACCGCCCGUCAAGUCACGAAAGUCGGUAACACCCGAAGACGGUGGCCUAACCGUAAGGAAGGAACCGUCUAA